UUUCCGUAGGUGAACCUGCGGAGGGAUCAUUACAGAGUUCAUGCCCUACCGGGUCGAUCUCCCACCCGAUGUUAUCAUAACUAUGUUGCUUUGGCGGGCCGUUAGGGUUCGGCCCGACUACCGGCCCCGGCCGGUAAGCCCCCGGCCGAGGCCCCACCACCCCGCAUAAUAGUGGCGUCUGAGUAAUAUAUAAGAAUUAAAAAUUUAAACAACCAAUCACUUGGCUCUGGCAUCGCUGAAGAACGCAGAACAUAGGAAGAGGACACGUCUGAACUCCAA
rnacentral:misc_RNA from 1 species